UUGAAAGGGAAACGAUUGAAGUCAGUCGUACCGGCGGGUAAUCAGCCUUUCGGGUAUGAUUCUGUAGAGCGUGAGGAGUUAAACGCCUUCAUGCCUGCAUAUUCGUGCUCUUGGGUGUACUUGCUCGUGUGGUUGGUUAACAUCAAUUUUGGUUAUCAUAAAAUGGCUGGAGGAAUGUAGCUUCGAUUUCGAUUGAAGUGUUAUAGCCUUCGGCAGAUGUGAUGAUCGGGAUUGAGGAUUGCAACGGAUACCUUUCGGGGCUACCUGUCUGAUCUCUGAUCGUCGCUCUGGUGCCGAAAGCGUGCUUACGGUUAUCAAAGUCGAUGGUCAAUAGGUUAGAAUGGGUUAAAUUCGUUAAGGAUGUUGACGUAA
rnacentral:rRNA from 1 species